CGGAAAUUUGUCACCAGUCAGUCAUCAGUCAUCAGUUCGUUUCAGUUUCAAUUCGAUCUUUCAGCACAGAAACUAGAAACAUCGGGAAUAGGAUUGACCCGAUGAGUUCAACAAAUAAUUCAACAGAAUUCCUCGGUCUCAAAAGCAAUCUUUCGCUUGGAGCCGAUGGCUUAUCGUCUGGGGUUGGCGGAGCAUUAUUCGAGUCAAAGAAAGAAAAUGAUUGUGGGGACAAGAGCAAUACUUCUCUUUUGAAAGUUGGCGCCAAAGCUGAUUUGAAUAACAAAGGUGUUGACGUUGGCGUUGAGGGCAAAGUUAUUCGUAAAGAAGUGGAAACGGAAAACGUAACAAUUGGCACAGGCCUUAAUUUGGAUACGGGAAUGAAGCUAGGUAGAGAUGGUGUAAAUAUGGAAUUUUUAGGAUUCGGUUUCUCGGCUGGUAAAGACGGAACUGGAUUCAAGCUGCCCUUUUUUGAUAUGAAAGUGAAAAAAUAAAUGAUUCCACUUAAGGACAAGACCUCAAAAGUUUGUAA